rnacentral:rRNA from 1 species
CUGCCCAAUGAGGAAUUAAAUGGCCGCGGUACUUUGACCGUGCAAAGGUAGCAUAAUCAUUAGUUUUUUAAUUGAAAGCUGGUAUGAAAGGUUGGAUGAGAGAAUAACUGUCUCUAUUUAAAUUAUUUAGAAUUUUAUUUUUAAGUAAGAAAGCUUAAAUUUUAAUAGAAGACGAGAAGACCCUAUAGAGUUUUAUAAAUUUUAAUUUGAAGAGAUUUUAGAAUUAAUAAAUUUUUAUAUUAAGAUUUAUUUGGUUGGGGCGACUGAAAAAUUUAAUAAACUUUUUUUAACUAUUUAAACAUUAAUUUAUGAUUAGAUGAUCCUUAUUUAAAGAUUAAAAGAAAAAAUUACCUUAGGGAUAACAGCGUAAUUUUUUUAAAGAGUUCAAAUCGAAAAAAAAGAUUGCGACCUCGAUGUUGGAUUAAAAUAAAAUUUUGGUGUAGGAGCUAAAGUAUUUGGGUCUGUUCGACCCUUAAAAUUUUACAUGAUCUGAGUUUAAACCGGUGU